rnacentral:lncRNA from 10 species
ACAAGUAAGGUAAACUGAGGCCCAGAAAUGUAAGGUGAUUUUCCAAUAUUGCCUGCCUGAAGCUCAGAUCUUGAGGGACUGAGAUGGCUUUUAAAAGAGCAGCUUCACCUGGCUGGGAUGCGUGCGGGGUACAUGAUGGAGAUGGGCUGGAGGAGGAGGCACUGGCGAGCCCCUCAGCAUCGCCUGUAUUUUAUUUAUUUAUUUAUUUAUUUAUUUAUUUAUUUAUUUAUUUAUUUUAUUUCUUUAUUUUGAGACAGAGUCUGGCUCUGUCGCCCAGGCUGGAGUGCAGUGGCGUGAUCUCAACUUUCAAUACAAGUAUAUUGAACAGCUGAAUUCAUAUUUCUAGCUACACGUCUCCUUCGAACUCCACUGCCCACCUUAUGUCUCCACCUGGAACUCAAGCAGGCAUGCGCCCAAACCUGCUGCUCCAGCGUUUUUCUCAGGCCUGUAAAUGUUGUUAUGAGUUGA